GUCUACAGCCAUGCCAUCCUGAACGUGCCUGAUCUCAUCUGAUCUCGGAAACUAAGCAGGGUCAGGCCUGGUUAGUACUUGGAUGGGAGACCACCUAGGAAUACCAGGUGUAGUUGUUU
rnacentral:rRNA from 1 species